rnacentral:misc_RNA from 1 species
CUUAUAUUUUUAGUUUGGACGUUUCAGCUAUUUGUAGAUUUAAGGAUUCCAAUUGCCAUGUGCAUAUCAACUGAGCUAAAUAAUUUAUAGAAGAUGUAAAUGGAAUGGACAUUAAUGUUUGCCAUACAGGCUUGACAUUUUGGAAUAUUAUAAGCAGACAAACUGCCAGAUGUGGUGGUUGUAGUUGAGCUGGUCAUCAGUUUGUCACACUCUUUAUUUUAAAUUAUUUCGGCUCUCCAAAGCUUUUUGCAUCUUUGGCAAG